AUGGCACACUUUAUACCAUGUCAUAAAAGCGAUGAUGCUGUUAAUGUUGCUGAUUUGUUCUUUCGUGAAAUUAUUCGCUUGCAUGGUGUGCCAAAUACUAUUGUUUCAGAUCGUGAUACUAAAUUUCUUAGCCACUUUUGGAGAUGGUUAUGGGCUAAGUUGGGGACUAAACUGCUUUUUAGUACUACUUGUCACCCCCAAACUGAUGGACAAACUGAAGUAGUCAAUAGAACGUUGUCUACUAUGCUUAGGGCUGUUUUGAAGAAUAAUAAGAAAAUGUGGGAGGAAUGCUUGCCUCAUAUUGAAUUUGCUUAUAAUCGUUCAUUGCAUUCUACUACUAAGAUGUGCCCUUUUGAAGUUGUGUAUGGUUUCCUACCUCGUGCACCUAUUGAUUUGUUGCCUCUUCCAUCUUCGGAGAAGGUUAAUUUUGAUGCUAAACAACGUGCUGAAUUGAUUUUAAAAAUGCAUGAGUUAACUAAGGAAAACAUUGAGCGAAUGAAUGCUAAAUAUAAACUUGCUGGAGAUAAGGGUAGAAAACAUGUUGUGUUUGCACCUGGAGAUCUUGUUUGGUUACAUUUGCGUAAGGAUAGAUUUCCUGAUUUGCGCAAAUCAAAGUUAAUGCCACGUGCUGAUGGUCCCUUUAAGGUGUUAGAGAAAAUAAAUGAUAAUGCAUAUAAACUUGAGCUGCCUGCAGAUUUUGGGGUUAGUCCCACUUUUAACAUUGCAGAUUUGAAGCCUUAUUUGGGUGAGGAAGAUGAACUUCCGUCGACGACGACUUUAUUUCAAGAAGGGGAGGAUGAUGAGGACAUCAAUACAAUUGUUACACCCACAGCCCCUGCUGCUAUAAAUACUGGACCAAUUACUAGAGCUCGUGCACGCCAACUAAAUUACCAGGUACUUUCGUUUCUUGGUAAUGAUUCUAAUGUUCAUGAGAAUAUGAUGCUGCCUAAAUUGGAUACAUUUGUUUUGCUUACAAAUUAA
rnacentral:rRNA from 1 species